UACAGAGGGUGCGAGCGUUGUCCGGAAUCACUGGGCGUAAAGGGCGCGUAGGUGGCGAUCCAAGUCCAUGGUGAAAGCUCGAUGCUCAACAUCGAGUCGGCCACGGAUACUGGGUUGCUUGAGCACUGUAGGGGCAGAUGGAAUUCCGGGUGUAGCGGUGGAAUGCGUAGAGAUCCGGAAGAACACCGGUGGCGAAGGCGGUCUGCUGGGCAGUUGCUGACACUGAGACGCGAAAGCGUGGGGAGCGAACAGG
rnacentral:rRNA from 1 species